AGCAGCCGCGGUAAUUCCAGCUCCAAUAGCGUAUAUUAAAGUUGUUGCAGUUAAAAAGCUCGUAGUUGAAUUUCGAGAUCAAUUUGUCGGUCGUGCCUCGGUACGUACUGGCAUUAUUGAUUUCCCCCUUCUGAAGAACCGCGAUGUCAUUAAUUUGGUGUCGUGGGGAAUCAGGACUGUUACUUUGAAAAAAUUAGAGUGUUUAAAGCAGGCGCACGCUUGAAUACAUUAGCAUGGAAUAAUGAAAUAGGACGUUUGAUUCUAUUUUGUUGGUUUCUGGGAUCGACGUAAUGAUUAAUAGGGAUAGUUGGGGGCAUUAGUAUUCAAUUGUCAGAGGUGAAAUUCUUGGAUUUAUUGAAGACUAACUACUGCGAAAGCAUUUGCCAAGGAUGUUUUCAUUAAUCAAGAACGAAAGUUAGGGGAUCGAAGACGAUCAGAUACCGUCGUAGUCUUAACCAUAAACUAUGCCGACUAGGGAUCGGGUGAUGUUAAUUUUUAAUGACUCAUUCGGCGCCUUAAC
rnacentral:rRNA from 1 species